CAGCAGCCGCGGUAAUUCGAAGGUGGCAAGCGUUACUCGGAAUUACUAGGCGUAAAGCGCAGGUAGGCGGUUCGGAAAGUCUUUUGUGAAAGCUCCCGGCUUAACUGGGAGAGGCCAAGGGAUACUCCCGGACUCGAGUGUGGUAGAGGAUGCUGGAAUUCCCGGUGUAGCGGUGAAAUGCGUAGAGAUCGGGAGGAAUACCAAUGGCGAAAGCAGGCAUCUGGGCCAUCACUGACGCUGAGCUGCGAAAGCUAGGGGAGCAAACAGGAUUAGAUACCCUGGUAGUCCUAGCCCUAAACGAUGCUCAUUAGAUGUGGGGGGUAUCGACCCCUUCCGCGUCGAAGCUAACGCAUUAAAUGAGCCGCCUGGGGAGUACGGCCGCAAGGUUGAAACUUAAAGGAAUUGACGG
rnacentral:rRNA from 1 species